UUCCGGUUGAUCCUGCCGGAGGCUACCGCUAUUGGAGUUCGAUUAAGCCAUGCGAGUCUAGAGGCCUAGCCUCGGCGUACCGCUCAGUAACACGUGGGUAACCUACCCUAUGCUGGGGAAUAUGCUCGGGAAACUGAGAAUAAUACCCCAUAGUCCACUACGCCUGGAACGGUGAGUGGAUCAAAGCUCCGGCGGCAUAGGAUGGGCCUGCGGCGUAUCAGGUUGUAGGGGGUGUAAUGUACCCUCUAGCCAUCCACGCGUACGGGUGUUGGGAGACAUUGCCCGGAGAUGGAUUCUGAGACACGAAUCCAGACCCUACGGGGUGCAGCAGGCGCGGAAACUUGGCAAUGCGAGAAAUCGUGACCAGGGAACUCCAAGUGGCAGGGGUAAGACCCUGUCUUUUUCCGACUCUAAAUAGGUCGGCGAAUAAGGGGUGGGUAAGGACGGUGCCAGCCGCCGCGGUAAUACCGGCGCCUCAAGUGGUAGUCGCUUUUAUUGGGCCUAAAACGUCCGUAGCCGGUCUGGUACAUUCGUGGGUAAAUCAACUCGCUCAACGAGUUGAAUUCUGCGAGGACGGCCAGACUUGGGACCGGGAGAGGUGUGGGGUACUCUCAGGGUAGGGGUAAAAUCCUGUCAUCCUGAGAGGACCACCUGUUGCGAAGGCUCCACACUAGAACGGGUCCGACGGUCAGGGACGAAGCCUAGGGGCACGAACCGGAUUAGAUACCCGGGUAGUCCUAGGUGUAAACGCUGUGGACUUGAUGUUGGGGACGCUCCGAGCGUUCUCAGUGUCGAAGCGAAGGUGAUAAGUCCACUGCCUGGGGAGUACGGUCGCAAGGCUGAAACUUAAAGGAAUUGGCGGGGGAGCACCGCAACCUGAGGAUUGUGCGGUUUAAUUGGAUCAACGCCGGA
rnacentral:rRNA from 1 species